AAGCAGGGGAUCGCAAGACCUCGCGUUACUAGAGUGGCCUACGCCUGAUUAGCUAGUUGGUGGGGUAAAGGCUCACCAAGGCGACGAUCAGUAGCUGGUCUGAGAGGAUGAUCAGCCACACUGGAACUGAGACACGGUCCAGACUCCUACGGGAGGCAGCAGUGGGGAAUUUUGGACAAUGGGCGCAAGCCUGAUCCAGCCAUUCCGCGUGAGUGAAGAAGGCCUUCGGGUUGUAAAGCUCUUUCAGGGGGGAAGAAACGGUUACGGCCAAUACCCGUGACUAAU
rnacentral:rRNA from 1 species